AACCUAGCACACCUGCGGUGUGUACCUGCGGAAGGAUCAUUAGCGAGUUACCACUCUAUAACCCUUUGUGAACAUACCUACAUGUUGCUUCGGCGGUCGGCCCCCCCGGGCCCCCGGCCCCGCUCACGCGGGGCGUCCGCCGGAGGAUAACCAAACUCUGAUUUAACGACGUUUCUUCUGAGUGGCACAAGCAAAUAAUCAAAACUUUCAACAAUGGAUCU
rnacentral:misc_RNA from 1 species